AGUGAACGCUGGAGGCGCGCUUAACACAUGCAAGUCGAGCGAGAAAGGGUAGCAAUACCUGAGUAAAGCGGCGUACGGGUGAGUAACACGUGGGUCAUGUACCCUUUGGUGGGGAAUAACGUUGGGAAACCGACGCUAAUACCGCAUAAUCCCGAGAGGGAAAAGCCGCAAGGCGCCGAAGGAACAGCCCGCGGCCGAUU
rnacentral:rRNA from 1 species